UACGCCUAUAUCACGUUGAAACACCGGUUUCCGUAUGAUCACCGAGGUUAGGCAAGGCUAAGCAUUGUUAGUACCAAGAUGGGUGACCGCUUGUGAAUAUCCAGGUGCUAU